UACGGGGGGGGCAAGCGUUGUUCGGAAUUACUGGGCGUAAAGGGCUUGUAGGUGGCCAACUAAGUCCGACGUGAAAUCCCUAGGCUUAACCUAGGAACUGCGUCGGAUACUGGAUGGCUUGAAUCCGGGAGAGGGAUGCGGAAUUCCAGGUGUAGCGGUGAAAUGCGUAGAUAUCUGGAGGAACACCGGUGGCGAAGGCGACAUCCUGGACCGGUAUUGACGCUGAGGCGCGAAAGCCAGGGGAGCAAACGGG
rnacentral:rRNA from 1 species